rnacentral:rRNA from 1 species
GAUGAACGCUGGCGGCGUGCCUAAUACAUGCAAGUCGAGCGAACGGACGAGAAGCUUGCUUCUCUGAUGUUAGCGGCGGACGGGUGAGUAACACGUGGAUAACCUACCUAUAAGACUGGGAUAACUUCGGGAAACCGGAGCUAAUACCGGAUAAUAUUUUGAACCGCAUGGUUCAAAAGUGAAAGACGGUCUUGCUGUCACUUAUAGAUGGAUCCGCGCUGCAUUAGCUAGUUGGUAAGGUAACGGCUUACCAAGGCAACGAUGCAUAGCCGACCUGAGAGGGUGAUCGGCCACACUGGAACUGAGACACGGUCCAGACCCCUACGGGAGGCAGCAGUAGGGAAUCUUCCGCAAUGGGCGAAAGCCUGACGGAGCAACGCCGCGUGAGUGAUGAAGGUCUUCGGAUCGUAAAACUCUGUUGUUAGGGAAGAACAUAUGUGUAAGUAACUGUGCACAUCUUGACGGUACCUAAUCAGAAAGCCACGGCUAACUACGUG